GGUCUAACGGCCGGUAGAAUGCCUGGUCGGGGCCCGUCUCUCGGGAUGGGUUCUCGCCCAGCUCUCCGGACCCGCGGCCGUCGGUCCGGGCGGUAUGAAACGACUUUAGCGCUGGGCCGCUCCUCGAGAGCGCCUGGCCUCCCCGCAAGCUCGGGUUGGAUCGUCGGGUCGUGCCCUCACGGGUACGCCCGGCGUCCUCCCGGACUGUUGGCGGGUGACGGCUCAGGCUGACCGUCCAGCACGCUUGUCGGCGGCGCUUCAGAUUCGGGCACUUAUCCGACCCGUCUUGAAACACGGACCAAGGAGUCUAGCGUGUGCGCGAGUCAUUGGGUGUAAAACCUAAAGGCGCAAUGAAAGUGUCAGAGGGCGCUUGCGCUCUCGGUGGGAAGAUGGGCUCCCGGACGUCGCUCCGGUGCCCCGCACUCCCGGGGCGUUUCAUUCUCAAUUUACGAGUCGAGACGCACCAGGAGCGCAUACGCUGGUACCCGAAAGAUGGUGAACUAUGCCUGGCCAGGACGAAGCCAGGGGAAACCCUGGUGGAGGUCCGAAGCGAUUCUGACGUGCAAAUCGAUCGUCUGGGCUGGGUAGAGGGGCGAAAGACCAAUCGAACCAUCUAGUAGCUGGUUCCCUCCGAAGUUUCCCUCAGGAUAGCUGGCUCUCGGGAAGAGACGAGUCUCAUCCGGUAGAGCGAAUGAUUAGAGGUGAUGGGGUCGAAACGACUUCAACCUAUUCUCAAACUCCCAAUAGAUGAGAGCCCCGGCUUGCUUGAAAGUGAAGCCGCGGGACUCGGAUCAGAGGUGCCAAGUGGGCCAAUUUUGGUAAGCAGAACUGGCGCUGUGGGAUGAACCAAACGCAGAGUUAAGGCGCCUGAUUCGACGCUCAUCCGAAACCAUGAAAGGCGUUGGUUGCUUAAGACAGCAGGACGGUGGCCAUGGAAGUCGGAAUCCGCUAAGGAGUGUGUAACAACUCACCUGCCGAAGCAACUAGCCCUGAAAAUGGAUGGCGCUGUAGCGUCGUGCCUAUACUCUGCCGUCAACGGCAAAGCGGGCGGCCCCUCACGGGGCGGUGCCGUUAAGCCUUGACGAGUAGGAGGGUCGCGGCGGUGUGCGCGGAAGGGUCUGGGCGUGAGCCCGCCUGGAGCCGCCGCCGGUGCAGAUCUUGGUGGUAGUAGCAAAUACUCCAGCGAGGCCCUGGAGGACUGAUGUGGAGAAGGGUUUCUUGUGAACAGCUGUUGCACAAGAGUCAGUCGAUCCUAAGCCCUAGGAGAAAUCCGAAGCGAUGGUCUGCCGUUAAAUUUC
rnacentral:rRNA from 1 species